rnacentral:tRNA from 2 species
GCGGGCGUGGCGAAAUGGUAGACGCAAGGGACUUAAAAUCCCUCGGGCUUUAGCCCGUGCCGGUUCGAGUCCGGCCGCCCGCACCA